GAUGAACGCUGGCGGCGUGCUUAACACAUGCAAGUCGAACGGAAAGGCUCCUGCUUGCAGGGGUACUCGAGUGGCGAACGGGUGAGUAACACGUGGGUGAUCUGCCCUGCACUUCGUGAUAAGCCUUGGAAACUGGGUCUAAUACCGGAUAGGACCACUUUUUGGAUUGUGUGGUGGAAAGUUUUUCGGUGUAGGAUUGGCUUGCUGCGUUUCAGCCUGUUGGUGGGGUAAUUGCAUACCAAGGCGUCGACGGGUAGCCGCCCUGAGAGGGUGUACGGCCGGACCGGGCUCGAGAGAAGGCCCACAGUCGUGAGGGAGGCAGAAGUGGGGAAUAUUGGACAAAGGGCGCCAGCCUGAUGGAGGGAGGCCGCGUGGGGGAUGACGGCUUUCAGGUUGUAAAAUCAUAUGGCUAGGGACGAAGCGUUUUUGUGACGGUACCUGGAGAAGAAGCACCGGCUAACUACGUG
rnacentral:rRNA from 1 species